UACGAAGGGGGCUAGCGUUGCUCGGAAUUACUGGGCGUAAAGGGAGCGUAGGCGGACAUUUAAGUCAGAGGUGAAAUCCCGGAGCUUAACUUCGGAACUGCCUUUGAUACAGCACAUCUGGAGUCCGGAAGAGGUGGGUGGAAUUCCUAGUGUAGAGGUGAAAUUCGUAGAUAUUAGGAAGAACACCGGUGGCGAAGGCGGCCCACUGGUCCGGUACUGACGCUGAGGUGCGAAAGCGUGGGGAGCAAACAGG
rnacentral:rRNA from 1 species